GUUGCUUCCAUGUCCUGGCUAUCGUAAAUAGAGCUGCAAUGAACAUUCCAAGAAGAGGUUUUUAAAUUGGAUUAUGCAGUAUGUGUGUGUGUAUACGUUUCUGUUUUUUUCCAUACCCAAAAUUACAAAGCUGCCAUGGCUGGUCUUGUGCAGGACUCUUCCACACGUGAGAAAAUGAGAGUUGUCUAUAUGUUCAAUCUGUAUGGACUUCGCAAGUGACCUUUUGUCUUUCAUCGAAAGCACUUGACCUGCAGCAGUGUGGCCUCACCAGUGAAGGAGCAAAGGCUUUACUAAAGGCCCUUGAAAGCAACAGAACUCUGGUCGUUUUGGAUAUAAGAAAAAAAUCCACUUGUUGAUCAUUCUGUGAUGAAAGCAGUUAUCCAAAAAGUUCUCCAGAUGGAAGGAGUGCCAAGUCAGAGGCUCAAAGAUUUGGAAAGAGAGAGUUUAACAGAAAAGGAAUGCGUGAAGGAGAAAUGGAAUCUCUUGCCUGAAUUUCUGCAGACAGAAAUAAAGAAUCAGUUAUGUGACUUGGAAACCAAAUGACAUGAAGAAGAAUUAUCAGAGAUUUGUCCUUGGAGAACAUGCUUUCAGUCGGGAAGUGAAUGGAUGUCUAGAAAACGGGAGCCAGACAAGUGGUGAGGAGCGCAGAGUGGAAAUAGCAGAGAAAAAGAAGUCCCCCAAACCUGUUUGCAAACUUUGCAUGCCCAGGAGAAGCAAGUCCGAUGGAGAAACAAAAUGUAAGAGCACUUGACUCGUUUGACCUCGUUGGAGUCUGGUACCGCCUAAGGGGAGGACAGACUUGGUGCCAUAGGGUCUGUCUGUUCCCCCCACACACAACCCCUCCACCGGCAGUACUUGUUUUUUGUGUAUCUUUUUUUAUUUUUAUUUUUUGGGGGGUGGGGGGUGAGGGGUGGCUGUGUUGCUCGGCUUGUACGAUCUUAGUUCUCCAACCGGGAUCGAACCCGGGCCCUCGGCAGUGAGAGUGCCGAGUCUUAACCACUGGACCGCCGUGGAAUUCCCUCUUGUGUAUACUUCUAACUAGCUUAGAUAUAUACUUUAAAUUUUUGUCUUCGACCAAGUUAUAGAGCAUUAGAUCCCCAAAUGUGGUUGAAUUGAUGAGGUAUAAGAAAACAGGAGCUGCUGAUAUUUAUGACUUGUAAGUGACAUGCCUGUUGAAGCUAAACAUUUAUUCUUAGACUCCUUCCCCGCUUGUAGUCAGAGUAACUCUUCUGGAAUUUUAAAAAUAAGAGCCUGGGACUUGAGCUCAGGUCAGGUGCUUGGCCACUUCAUCGUUUGACGAAAUAAGCAGAGGCUCUGUUUCCUUGUCCGCCUCAGGGUUGGGCCCUUCAUACAAGAGCUUGUGUUAAACUGGCCUAGCAAACUGGCAGGUGCUCAUUUGAUGACUUUAUGAAGACGGUGGUUGCUUAGAAUAAGAAGAGAAGGAUACUUAAUCCUCAGAACCUGGUCUGUGCACCAGCUUGCUAAUGCUGAAGAACUGUACCUUGUCUGUGAACUCUUUAUUCAUAGUGGCUUUUUUGUUUCUUUUCUGUAAGCAGCUGAAGUCUCAUGUAGCCCCAGGAUUACAAGGCAAACUACCAGGCAGACCACCAUCACAUCUCAUUUCACAAGGGGGUCAGUAUAUAAUGAAUGGACAGCCCCCAUUUUAGGGGCCAACUGUUUUUGGUAAAACACAUAUAGAAUUAGUAGGAUGUAACUUAGUAAUUCUGACUUCCACAUUGCUUAGGUUUCCUUUUGAUAUUCUGUUUUUAGACAUUCAUGAACAGCAUUUCUGAAGACCUCAUCCAUGUUUACUCUUAGCAUAGGAAACUUCAAAUGUACAUACACAAAAUACCAAGGAUAGUAAAAUGAACCCCUGUGUACCUAUCAGCCAGUAUCAACAGUUAACAGCUCCUGGCUGUUGUUUCAUCUAUACCGCAUAUGCUCCAAGUGAAAAUUAUUCCAAAUGGAUUACAACUCCAUACACACCCAUGUCCCCCCAGUUGGAUUACUUUGAAACAAAUCGGACAUGUCAUCUUAUCCACAAAUACGAUAUUUCUAGAUGACAAGGUCUCUUUCUCUGACAAGUUUUUUAUUCAUAUUUUGCUAUAAUUGCUAACAUCUAGCAAACAGUCUUUUGAAGAAGACAAAACAUGCCUUACAAAGUGUAACAGUUCCUUACUAACAAAUAUAUAGCAGUGUUCAUACCUCCCCUUGUGUAACAGGGUUUGGUUGAUUUGUUCCUUAAGCCUUUCAAGUGAUAGAUUCCUUAUUUCCUUGCCGUUUCUUUAAAGAAAAUAGGUCUUUUGUCUAAUAGCUUCUAGGUCUGGCUGACUGCAUCGUUUCGGUGGUGAAUAUGUUCCCUUGUGUCCAGUUUUCUGUCAACUGGUAGUUAGGUCUAGAGUCCUGAUCAGAUUCCAGCUUUAUUUUGUGCGACUUCAUUGACGGUAUGGGGCUGUCCAUCAGAGGCAUGUAAUGUCUCUUCAGUGAUUCUAGCAGCCGUUGAUCAAAGUCUAGAUCCAUUAUUUCUUAGGGUUUGCAAAACGGUGGUAUUCUAAACCUGUCAUCCAAAGAAACAUUAAGCUCGAAGCUUGUUUUAAUGUCCUGGCCAAAAGGGCUUCUCCUUGGAGGGAAGAGGGUGUCCAUGCCCUGAAUCUUUCCAAACAGAGGGUAUUCUUGGUAGGGAGGAAUAUAAGUUGUUUUGUGCCCACUGCAAGUGUAGGGUCUGGCUGAGCUACCAGUUGGCCUUACUGUGUGUGACAGCCCUGCCAAACAGAAACCUGAGGAAGACCCUGAAAAAGCAAAAUCAGGUGAUUCUGUCGAUGAAGAAGAAAAAGAGCAGCUGUCAAGAUUUGACAGUCAAACCAGCAGAUGUGAUGCGUUUAAAGCAUUUCCUUCUGAUGUCAGAUAAGCUCCUUUCCCACAUCUAA